GUCAAAUGCUUUGAACCGUAUGGUGUACCAGAGAGAGGGGUUUUUGUAGAGGAAGGAAGAGGAUCUAGAGCAGUGUGCUUUGCUGGUGGCACAGAAAUACUCCCCAGAGUCCUCUGUGGUAGGAUUGGACAUCUGCAGGUCUCCACGACUACCUGCGUUUCCUCGGAGACUGAAGCGAUGGCGUCUGGGAGAUUCCGCUGCUGUUCCAAACACCUUCGUCAGAGACAGGAGAUAGAAACGUGAGGAGGUGAAGCUGGACAUAUCAAGCAAGAAGUUAGAAAAAAACAUGAAGAAACAAAACCAAUGAAAAAGGCCCUUAUAUAUGAAUAGACAGAGGUUGUCCUCUUUAGAUGUUUUCUGAGCUUCCUGGUUCCAAUCAACCCAAUAUGAACCCUGAAGAUGGGACAAGGUGACCCAGAGGAAGCCAACUGUUCUUAGCCCCAUUCUUCCAAGAGCUCACUGAGUUUUGAAUGGAGACCUCUAGCGAGGGCUGAGAAGGUUUGCUACGGAGCUCCACGAGGAACACCUGAUGCUGCGCUGACUUCUCUCUCUUGGAUGCGCUCCUGCCCAAACUGUCCCGUAGUGUGUUUCACCCCCUCUGAACCCCCCUUUACCCCCUCUGAACCCCCCUUUACCCCCAAAUAGAGUGGCCCCUGAUCAUAGCGCUAGGAUUGUACCCAAUCCCAAUUUUAACUCCAUCUCCCUCCCUCCCUCUCUCUCUCGUUGUCUCUCUUUGUCCCCCAACA